rnacentral:tRNA from 1 species
AGCAGAAUGGCUCAGUGGUAAGAGCAUGGGCUUGGGAGUCAGAGAUCAUGGGUUCGAAUCCCGGCUCUGCCA